rnacentral:rRNA from 1 species
UACAGAGGGUGCAAACGUUAAUCGGAAUUACUGGGCGUAAAGCGUGCGCAGACGGUUGCGUAAGUCAGAUGUGAAAGCCCCGGGCUCAACCUGGGAAUUGCAUUUGAGACUGCGUAGCUAGGGUGCGGAAGAGGGAAGCGGAAUUUCCGGUGUAGCGGUGAAAUGCGUAGAUAUCGGAAGGAACACCAGUGGCGAAAGCGGCUUCCUGGUCCAGCACCGACGUUCAGGCACGAAAGCGUGGGGAGCAAACAGG